UUGGAAUUUGAGUUCGGUGUUUCAACAGGUAAGGGCUUCUGAUCAGCAGCAGCAGAGGUCAGAAGCUCACCAUGGGAUGGAGCAGCAGGGUUUGGCGUGAACGGACCACUGGUUAGAGUCAUCGGCUGGAAGAAGGGAGGAUACUGGUAGUGUUGUGGACCAUACAAUUGACCAUCAUUCCCCAGAGUCGGAACUGGGGAAGCUGCAGGUGAAUACGGUCCAUAUGGUGCAUAGCUGUAACCAUGAUGAUACAUAAGAGAUCCAUUGUCCCCGUAAACCCCCUGAAAACGUAGUACAUGGAGAUUCAAUAAAAUUCAUGAAAGAUUUAGCAGUUAAUAGUAACUUUGAGUACAAGGAGAACAUGAAAAGGACUUACUGAAGUCAUGUCAACUCCAUCUGGAUUUAAAUAUUGUGAAUAUUCAUCCCACUCAUUACCGGUGCCAUCAAAGCCUGCAAUAUAAAUUAUACAUACAUGAAUCCAAUUCUAGCCCUGAUUAAUUCAGCAUAAAAGAUGCAGAAACAAAGGAACUGCUCGUUUACUACCUCCAUAGUAAUACGCAGAUGGAUAACCACUAGGAAUAUAGCACAUAUUCGGAUCCAUAAAAUCCUGUAGCAAAGGUGUUGUGGAUCUGUCAAACGUCGGAAUUUGGGUAUUCCCAGUGUUGCCUGAAUCAACAGAACCAUACUGAUAAACAGA
rnacentral:lncRNA from 1 species